UCACUAUCGGGGUUUCGAUACGUUACAGUAGGUUUAACGAAUUUUCUUCUAAGUCAAAUCUUAGUUCAGCAUAUAUAAUUUCAUCUAACAUUACUAAACUAUGCUCCAAAUUUAGAUUUUAAUAAAAACAUGCAAAUCGAUGAAUUCGAGCUACUAACAUGAUGAACAAAGCAAAUAAUACAUGCUGACAAUUCUAUGACUUAGAAGGAAAUCCGAUGAUUUCGGUAAACAUUAACCCAUCUCGAACGCUUGUCCAACGUCGGCUAGAAGUCGAUAGGAGAACCCCGCACGCUCGCUCGACCUCCAACGGCCUCAACCGGACUCGACCACGGCGCGGGCGCAACCCUCCUAAGACCCGAAGAAAUCAAACGAGCUCGAUCUUCAACCUUCUAAACAAACGGUACAACCAGCUAGAGAGAGAGGGAGAGGAGAAACGUACUGUUUCUCCAAGCUUCGCAGGUAGAUAAAUAUGCUGGGGUAGGUGGCGAUACAAUCCACCAUCAAAAAGACCAAAAUAUCCCUUACCAACUUAUUUUUCCACCUGGAGCACUGGUACCCAACUUGAAUACCGGUACUCGGCCCUCUUCCCGCACACAACGCGCGCUGAGUAUCGGUACUCGCUCGAUGCAGUAUCGAUCCUCAAGCUCGAUACCGGUACUCAACAACAGGUAUCGAUACUCAGCAUCAAAGUGUGCAAACCAGAGAGCAUCCAGUUCAUAAAUCCCUCUGGGGUACCGAUACUUCUCUCUAGUACCGGUACUCAACACUGAAAUCCUACACUUUGUAGAUUUAGUGUCAGAACUCUACUCUCGCACCGCGCUGAGUCUGUUUUGCGUCCAAUGUGCGCCAAAACGACUCCGACUUGUCUCGACACCCACUAGACGUGUCGACAAGCCACAGAUGCUGAAGUCUCUCAGACAACUAAACACCAGGGACACUACAACAAUAAUAACUUGUUGGACCCAAACCAACGGCCCAAAAUGCUUAAGUCCAGUUAUUAUUACUAGUGUCUAAGUUUCUUAUAUAUCCAAUCACAUUCCCAUUCCUAUCCAAUGUGGGAUUAUUAAGGUGUGACAAUUUGACACUAAGUUGCACUGUUUGAGGUUAAAUUAUACUAUUUAAAAUUAUUUGAGACUAAAUUGCACCACAAAAAAUAAAAGUUAUACUAUUUGAGACUGAGUUGCACUAUUGAUACUUAAGUUGCACUGUUUGAGAAUAUGCAACUUAAUCUCAAAUAAUUGUAAAUAGUGCAACUUAAGUCUCAAACUGUGUAAUUUUAUUUCAAAUAAUGCAACUUCCUUUUCUUUUUUCUCUACUUUUUGGCCUUCCUUGUAGCAGCCUCAAUGCAAGGUGGCCUUCCUAUAAAAAGAAAAAGAUAUAUUUUUUAUCUUUUUAUCUUUUUCUUCCACUCUCUACAUUCUUUUUCACUACUGCACCCCCUCUCUCGCCCUCAACUACAGCAGCCGCCCUCGCCCCUACAUGCUCUCCCUCCCCGUCAUCUUAAAAUCUUGCAGCAUCCUCGUCGCUGCCGUCGUCCACGGUUACGACCUUCACUGUAGCCUCAUCUUUGCAAUCUAUACAAUAUCCAAACCCGUGUUGCCGCCGCUAGUGUCAGCAGAGAUGUGGACGAAAUAGGAGAGAGGAGUGCGAUUUUGGUUGGGAGCAGUGGAGGAGAAAGAGAAAAGCGGGAAGAGAAAAGGAUGAGGAAAUGGCGAGAAGAAGGGAGACGAAGAGAGAGAGAGAAAUGAGAGAGAAAAAAGAAUAAAAAUAUGUUGUUUAGUUUACUAUAAGUUCAGACUUAAUUUACAAAAUCUCAAAAGGUGAAUUAUUUUUGUAAAAAUAUAAAACCAGUGAAUUUUUUUAUAAAAAUUGACCUUUUUAAAAUUGAUAAAAUAUUUUUAAUAUUAUUUUUUUAAAAAAAGGUAUACAAGUAAUGGUUGGAGGAAGGAUUCCCAUGGAAUUAUUCUAAGAAAGAAUGUAUUACGCAAUGUUGCACAUGGUGUUCCUUUUACUGAUUUGAUGUUAUGUACGUGGACCACUUUAAAAGAAAUAUAGCUUAGCAAUUACUUUAGCAUUUCCUUUUGUCUUUUCCUUUAAUUGAAUCACAAGGAAUUAUUUUUUAAAGGCUAAAAGGUAAAGCACCACUCUUUUUGGCUUUUCUUUUGCAUCGUAUUCCUGUCAAAAUUUAGAUGUAGAUUAUUUUUUAUUUUCUAUAUUGUAUUUUGUUUUUAAGACAUUACUCAACUGUUAGCGUAAGUGGCAAAAGACUUGAUGAUUGGUAUUCGAGGUCCCAAGUUCGAAUCCUAGUUGAUGCACAUUUCUAUUUAAGUUUAUUUUUAAAUGAAAUAAACGAAAUGGGUAGCAUGCUAUCUAUCUCUCUCUC
rnacentral:lncRNA from 1 species